UCGGUUAUUCCCCUAAAAUUAUCGCGGCCUGUAAUUUCUCAAAACGAGCUUCAACGAUUCUCCAGUCGUUUCAUUGUGAUAGAAAUACUUUGGUUAACCGUAUAACCGUUGAUGAUGAAGAAAUCACGGUCUCCGGUGUGUAAAUUAAAUCGAAGAAUGUUCAGAUUGAUGCAGGAAACAAAGAUUAUUAUAAUCAUCUUGUGCUUCACCGUAUUUUUACGUAUGUUAUUUAAUUUCGAGUUACCAUUAAAAUUUAUAGUAAGUAAAGCACGUGUUAAUUUUAUCUAGAUUUUAUCGUGAAAUUUGUUGAAAUCUUCGAAUUGCGAAAUGGGAAGAUGUUGAGCUCGGUAUAAGGAGCUGAGAUCAUUGUAAUUAUCUAAUAUUUCAUCAUAUCUUUACAUAUGAGUCGUUAAAAAACCGUAUUGACCAAUUCUAUAAAUUAAAAAGUAAAAAGAACGAUGGUAUUACAAAUGUUAUCUUACUAAAUUUAGCAUGAAAUUUACGAUUAUUUAUAUAAAUUGUUUUUUGACAAGUUGAAUAAUUGAAUACUGAUUGAAUAUCCGAAUAAUAAAAUUAAGGAAAUCCAUUAAGCUUGUCUAGAUUUUAUGGCAAAUUUUUAAAAAUCUUUGUAUUGCAAAAGGCAAUACCGUACGUAAAAUAAAUUUGUCACUUUUCCCUUUCUCUUUGUGUUUUCACAGAGGUUUUCCUAGAUCUACAAUACCUAAUGGUAUUAAUCAAUGUUCCAUUUAGAGCGCCUAUUGUACCAUCGAGUUGGUGGAAUUUAUACUAAGGAGACCUUAUUCUGCCACGAUCAAUAAGCAACAUAGCAUAAAUGAAGACAAAUAGUUGUCACGACCGGAGGUUGAAAGUAGAAAACAUAAUACAGAAGCUGGCGCUGCUGAUCGAGAUUCAAGGAUCGAUCCUUUAACGGUCAUGUAUCUAAAUUUUAAUGUUCAGAAUGAAUAAUGGAGAGAUACAAAUAUUUGACAUUCGCAUCGAUCAAUAAGAAAAGCAACAAGUCCGCGGAGCUACCUAACGAACAUGGUGCAUCAGUGAUGCAGUCACCUAUUGGGAUGAAGAAACAAUCGUCUCAUUUUCUUUUAAGUGCAGCCAUGAAACGUAUUAUUACACUAAUACAGUGAAACAUGAAUACAAGUUGUUAAUAAACAAACAAUCGUGAUCUGCUGGUGUAGGCUGAAUUACUCAAGAAAAUUACUCGGCACGUACGCACGACUUCUGUUUUGAUCUCGCUCCAUUCGGCACGAUAUCUAAUGUUUCCUAUUAGCGUUUUACAACUCAACGCUGUAAUUAUUAUCAGUCGUGUAUUUUACAUGGUCCUACGAGUUUGCUUUCACUGCGUGCUUUCGUUUUUACUUAAUGUCCCGUUCCUUUCCCCACUCCCCCUGUUACCAGCCGUCUCGGUAACGAUUUAUGUAUAUGUCGAUCGAUCCUCGAUUUUCUGACUCUGCCGCUUUCCUUCCGCGAUGUAUCGAACAAAUUUAUUCAUGUAGCAAUUGGUUAACGAUUGAGAAAUAAUUUUUACGUGAUACGAUUCCUGAAAUGGUUCGAUCGAAGCUUCCUAAAUGUAAGAAAAUGAUAAGCAAAUUUAAAUUUCGGACGAUAUUGAAGAGGAUUGAUUUGGUAGAUAUCAGAAUAUUUUUGGUAAUUCAUUUCAAUAAAAAUUGUUAAAGGGUUAGAUUUAACGUUAUUUCAUAAAAUAGUAAAUUUUUUAAUAUCGUUUGAAGCAAAUUUUUCGGGAUAAGAAGAAGCGUUUUGCAGUACCUAAUUGUGGGGGAAUAUUGUACUUUAUUUUAAUAAAAAUUUUUAUGGCGUCAAACUUGACGUGGUGUUACGAAACCAGCUAUUUUAGUAUUCAAGAUUGGCGAAAAAAUCCAUAUAUUUAUUUUAAAAUUCUUGGAACUUGGAAACUGGAAUAAAGUGGCGUGCCGAUCAAUUUAGAAAUUG